AGCGCCUAAUUCAAAAGGAGGAAACGCCAAGGCUUAUGAGGAAUUCUGCCAUGAGCCUUCUACCACCCCUUCCUUCUACUGUCCUUCCCCCAGCUCGCCCCUCACCCCCGAGGUCAUCCGAGGGUAGUUGGCUUUCCCAAGAGUCUAUCCUUCUCUGGUUGUACAGUGUGUUCGGUUCCACCACACACAGACAGGCUAAACACAUGUCAGCACAGCGUGAAGAAGGAAGUCUGUCCAUUAGCACGUUCAGAAACAGAGUCUGGGAUGUAGUACGUUCAAUAAAGGGCUUCUUGUUUGGGAGCCUGAUACCACAGCAUCUCUCUAGUGAAAGCUGAACUGACCUCAAUUUGUGUGGGCAAUAUGCUUGUGUGUGCGGUGCAUUUACAAGGCCAGACGAGCUGGAGCUACUCUGCAAGUCUCUUGAUGUACAAGAGGAAAAAGCCAAGUUUGGAGACUCACUGCGCCGAGGAAGAAGAAAGGACCAUCUCUCCCCAAGUUGGAUUCUGAAGAAAACUUGGCCCUAGCUUCCAGAAACCUUAAAUCACAUGUAGCCAAAGUUUUGACCUGGUCACCAAGAAUAAAACAGAAGCUGAAUCU